UUCAGUGGCCAAUGUAGCUUUCCAAAUUCGGUCAUAACGAUUAGGUCGGGUUUGCAUUGUUACAGUAAGUAUUGUUGUUUCAGCUACUUUGAAAAUGAGAGAUACUAAAUGUUUGAGGAAAGACUCUCAUAUUCUUCAAGGCAAAGGAAGUAAAUUCAAGGUUAGGGCUACCUCUUGUGACUUAGCUGCUGAUGCAAUGUCAAAAGUGGUUGAAAAAACCGAGUCUGACAGUAUAAUUACAGACUCAAAUUUUGGAUAGGAGACUUCGACAGAUCCAAGCAUGGUGGCCACCCCAGAUGUUUAAGGAUUAGAUUUUGGCAAAUUUGAAGAAUGAUUUUGGCCUAGAAUAUGAGGAUGUGAUGUGGCAAUCGCUCUUUGGUAUUAUCUGCUGAAAACUUUGGAAACAAAGAAAUCUUAGGAUUUUCUAAGUGACCCCUUCUAAUGCUACCAAUGUUAUACAAUUUGCGUGGGUUUAGAGGAACUAUAUUAAGCUGAAGCCUAGAAGACCAAGUGGUUCUAAGAGUAAUCAAAGUGGAAAUUGUAUGUGGAUCCCACCACACACUAGAUCUAUCAAAAUAAAUGUCAAUGGUAGGUGGCUUUGGGGAAUUGGGACAAAUAUGAUAUGGACGCUUUUACUGCAAUAGGAAUUUUAGUUGUAUUUAUUAUAUCAGGUUUUAUUAAGAGUUUUAGUUUUACUUA